AUGAACGCUGACAGAAUGCUUAACCCAUGCAAGUCAACUUGAAUUUGGGUUUUUAACUUAGGUUUGGGUGGCGGACGGGUGAGUAACGCGUAAAGAACUUGCCUCACAGCUAGGGACAACAUUUGGAAACGAAUGCUAAUACCUAAUAUUAUGAUAAUAGGGCAUCCUAUAAUUAUGAAAGCUAUAAGCGCUGUGAGAGAGCUUUGCGUCCCAUUAGCUAGUUGGAGAGGUAACGGCUCGCCAAGGCGAUGAUGGGUAGCCGGCCUGAGAGGGUGAUCGGCCACAAGGGGACUGAGACACGGCCCUUACUCCUACGGGAGGCAGCAGUGGGGAAUAUUGGACAAUGGACCAAGAGUCUGAUCCAGCAAUUCUGUGUGCACGAUGAAGUUUUUCGGAAUGUAAAGUGCUUUCAGUUGGGAAGAAAGAAAUGACGGUACCAACAGAAGAAGUGACGGCUAAAUACGUG
rnacentral:rRNA from 1 species